rnacentral:miRNA from 1 species
GAGGUAGGAGGAUCCCUUGAGCCCAGGAGUUGGAGGUUGCAGUGAGCUAUGAUCAUACCACUGCACUCCAGCCUGAGUGACAGAGCAAGAUCCUGUCUCA